UGCGUAGGCGGGUCUUUAAGUCAGGGGUGAAAUCCUGGAGCUCAACUCCAGAACUGCCUUUGAUACUGAAGAUCUUGAGUCCGGGAGAGGUGAGUGGAACUGCGAGUGUAGAGGUGAAAUUCGUAGAUAUUCGCAAGAACACCAGUGGCGAAGGCGGCUCACUGGCCCGGUACCUGACGCUGAGGCACGAAAGCUGGGGAGCAAACA
rnacentral:rRNA from 1 species